GGGUGUUCGGCGCGGCAAGGCGGCGGGCAGGGUAUUCGCGCUGGUCGGGCCGCCAGUG
rnacentral:ncRNA from 2 species